rnacentral:rRNA from 1 species
CCUCCUUUGUUCCUCCUUUUUUCCUCUUUCCCCCUUUUGUUCCCCCUGCUGCCGUGCCGCCGCGUGCGUGAAGAAGUAUUUCGGUAUGUAAAGCUCUGUCAGCAGGGAAGAAGAAAGACGGUACCUGACCAAGAAGCCCCGGCUAACUACGUGCCAGCAGCCGCGGUAAUACGUAGGGGGCAAGCGUUAUCCGGAUUUACUGGGUGUAAAGGGAGCGUAGACGGCAGGGCAAGUCUGGAGUGAAAGGCAGGGGCCCAACCCCUGGACUGCUCUGGAAACUGUCCGGCUGGGUGCAGGAGAGGUAAGUGGAAUUCCUAGUGUAGCGGUGAAAUGCGUAGAUAUUAGGAGGAACACCAGUGGCGAAGGCGGCUUACUGGACUGUAACUGACGUUGAGGCUCGAAAGCGUGGGGAGCAAACAGGAUUAGAUACCCGAGUAGUC